GAUGAACGCUGGCGGCGUGCUUAACACAUGCAAGUCGAACGAAGCACCUUAUUCUGAUUUCUUCGGAAUGAAAAAUAUGGUGACUGAGUGGCGGACGGGUGAGCAACGCGUGGGUAACCUGCCUCAUACAGGGGGAUAACAGUUAGAAAUGACUGCUAAUACCGCAUAAGACCCCAGCACCGCUCGGUGCAGGGGUAACAACUCCGUUGGUAAGAGAUGGACCCGCGUCUGAUUAGGUAGUUGGUGGGGUAACAGCCUACCAAGCCGACGAUCAGUAGCCGACCUGAGAGGGUGACCGGCCACAUUGGGACUGAGACACGGCCCAAACUCCUACGGGAGGCAGCAGUGGGGAAUAUUGCACAAUGGGGGAAACCCUGAUGCAGCGACGCCGCGUGAGCGAUGAAGUAUUUCGGUAUGUAAAGCUCUAUCAGCAGGGAAGAAAAUGACAGUACCUGACUAAGAAGCACCGGCUAAAUACGUGCCAGCCGCCGCAGUAA
rnacentral:rRNA from 1 species